rnacentral:rRNA from 1 species
CUAAGUUUGAUGGCGACCGGCGCACGGGUGAGUAACACGUAUCCAACCUGCCGAUGACUCGGGGAUAGCCUUUCGAAAGAAAGAUUAAUACCCGAUGGUAUAAUAAAACCGCAUGGUUUAAUUAUUAAAGAAUUUCGGUUAUCGAUGGGGAUGCGUUCCAUUAGGCAGUUGGUGAGGUAACGGCUCACCAAACCUUCGAUGGAUAGGGGUUCUGAGAGGAAGGUCCCCCACAUUGGAACUGAGACACGGUCCAA